UACGUAGGGUGCGAGCGUUGUCCGGAAUUACUGGGCGUAAAGAGUUCGUAGGCGGUUUGUCGCGUCGUUCGUGAAAACUUGGGGCUUAACUCCAAGCGUGCGGGCGAUACGGGCAGACUUGGAGUACUGCAGGGGAGACUGGAAUUCCUGGUGUAGCGGUGAAAUGCGCAGAUAUCAGGAGGAACACCGGUGGCGAAGGCGGGUCUCUGGGCCGAUACUGACGCUGAGGAGCGAAAGCGUGGGGAGCGAACAGG
rnacentral:rRNA from 1 species